rnacentral:rRNA from 1 species
GGGGAAUAUUGCACAAUGGGGGAAACCCUGAUGCAGCAACGCCGCGUGAGUGAUGAAGGCCUUCGGGUUGUAAAGCUCUGUCUUUGGGGACGAUAAUGACGGUACCCAAGGAGGAAGCCACGGCUAACUACGUGCCAGCAGCCGCGGUAAUACGUAGGUGGCAAGCGUUGUCCGGAUUUACUGGGCGUAAAGGAUGCGUAGGCGGAUAUUUAAGUGAGAUGUGAAAUACCCGGGCUCAACUUGGGUGCUGCAUUUCAAACUGGAUAUCUAGAGUGCAGGAGAGGAAAGUGGAAUUCCUAGUGUAGCGGUGAAAUGCGUAGAGAUUAGGAAGAACAUCAGUGGCGAAGGCGACUUUCUGGACUGUAACUGACGCUGAGGCAUGAAAGCGUGGGGAGCAAAC